CCUACGGGAGGCAGCAGUGGGGGAUAUUGCACAAUGGGGGAAACCCUGAUGCAGCGACGCCGCGUGUGGGAAGACGGUCCUCUGGAUUGUAAACCACUGUCUCCAGGGACGAAGAUGACGGUACCUGGGGAGGAAGCUCCGGCCAACUACGUGCCAGCAGGCGCGGUCAUACGUAGGGAGCGAGCGUUAUCCGGAAUUACUGGGUGUAAACGGAGCGUAGGCGGGGAAGCAAGUUGGGGGUCAAAUCUACGGGCUCAACUGGGAGGCGCACUCAAAACUGCAGCUCUUGAGUGAAGUAGAGGCAGGCGGAAUGCCUAGUGUAGCGGUGACAUGCGUAGAUAUUAGGAGGAACCCCAGUGGCGAAGGCGGCCUGCUGUGCUUUUACUGACGCUGAGGCUCGAAAGUGUGGGGAGCGAACAGGAUUAGAUACCCGUGUAGUC
rnacentral:rRNA from 1 species